rnacentral:rRNA from 1 species
UGGGGAAUAUUGCACAAUGGGCGAAAGCCUGAUGCAGCAACGCCGCGUGAGUGAUGAAGGCCUUCGGGUUGUAAAGCUCUGUCUUUUGGGACGAUAAUGACGGUACCAAAGGAGGAAGCCACGGCUAACUACGUGCCAGCAGCCGCGGUAAUACGUAGGUGGCAAGCGUUGUCCGGAUUUACUGGGCGUAAAGGAUGCGUAGGCGGAUUUUUAAGUGAGAUGUGAAAUACCCGGGCUUAACUUGGGUGCUGCAUUUCAAACUGGGAAUCUAGAGUGCGGGAGAGGAGAAUGGAAUUCCUAGUGUAGCGGUGAAAUGCGUAGAGAUUAGGAAGAACACCAGUGGCGAAGGCGAUUCUCUGGACCGUAACUGACGCUGAGGCAUGAAAGCGUGGGUAGCAAACAGGAUUAGAUACCCUGGUAGUCCACGCCGUAAACGAUGAGUACUAGGUGUAGGAGGUAUCGACCCCUUCUGUGCCGCAGUUAACACAAUAAGCACUCCGCCUGGGAAGUACGAUCGCAAGAUUAAAACUUAAAGGAAUUGACGGGGUCAUAGCUG